rnacentral:rRNA from 1 species
CCUACGGGAGGCAGCAGUGGGGAAUAUUGGGCAAUGGGCGCAAGCCUGACCCAGCAACGCCGCGUGAAGGAAGAAGGCUUUCGGGUUGUAAACUUCUUUUGUCAGGGAAGAGUAGAAGACGGUACCUGACGAAUAAGCCACGGCUAACUACGGGCCAGCAGCCGCGGUAAUACGUAGGUGGCAAGCGUUGUCCGGAUUUACUGGGUGUAAAGGGCGUGUAGCCGGGUUGACAAGUCAGAUGUGAAAUCCUGCGGCUUAACCGCAGAACUGCAUGUGAAACUGUUGAUCUUGAGUACUGGAGAGGCAGAUGGAAUGACUAGUGUAGCGGUGAAAUGCGUAGAUAUUAGGAGGAACACCAGUGGCGAAGGCGGUCUGCUGGACAGCAACUGACGGUGAGGCGCGAAAGCGUGGGGAGCAAACAGGAUUAGAUACCCCAGUAGUC